UACGUAGGGUGCGAGCGUUAAUCGGAAUUACUGGGCGUAAAGCGUGCGCAGGCGGUUUUGUAAGCCAGGUGUGAAAUCCCCGGGCUCAACCUGGGAAUGGCAGUGGAUACUGGCAAGCUAGAGUGCGGUAGAGGGUAGUGGAAUUCCCGGUGUAGCAGUGAAAUGCGUAGAGAUCGGGAGGAACACCAGUGGCGAAGGCGGCUACCUGGACCAGCACUGACACUGAAGCACGAAAGCGUGGGGAGCAAACAGG
rnacentral:rRNA from 1 species